rnacentral:lncRNA from 1 species
UAUGGUAGCUAGACCUUCAAAAUUUAUGUGUCUAAACUUUGUUAGUGUUGUUUCUUUGCUAUUCUUUUACCCUUUUUGGUUAGAGCGAUGUAGUGGGAGCUGCAAGCUUCACGUGUCUCAACUUUGUCAGAGAACUUUGGCAAAGUUAUCUGUAGUACCCAUGAGCUACUGUUACGUGUGGGAAGUGGGUGAUUGAACAGUACAAUUCAUGUGCUUUCUACUUCGCCAGAAAUCUUCGACAGAAUGCCCAUAAUUUCCACAAAGCUGAGUGUGCGUGUGACAGGUGCUGACAAGGCUGGACGAGUGGGUGCCUCUUCGAUUUCUAAGAUCGGCCCUCGUGGUCUCUGAGCAGCCCAGCUUUUGAGAAAGCAAGCCU